rnacentral:rRNA from 1 species
AUACGUAGGGUGCAAGCGUUAAUCGGAAUUACUGGGCGUAAAGCGUGCGCAGGCGGUUUUGUAAGACAGUGGUGAAAUCCCCGGGCUCAACCUGGGAACUGCCAUUGUGACUGCAAGGCUGGAGUGCGGCAGAGGGGGAUGGAAUUCCGCGUGUAGCAGUGAAAUGCGUUGAUAUGCGGAGGAACACCGAUGGCGAAGGCAAUCCCCUGGGCCUGUACUGACGCUCAUGCACGAAAGCGUGGGGAGCAAACAGGAUUAGAUACCCUGGUAGUCCACGCCCUAAACGAUGUCAACUGGUUGUUGGGGAUUUAUUUUCUCAGUAACGAAGCUAACGCGUGAAGUUGACCGCCUGGGGAGUACGGCCGCAAGGUUAAAACUCAAAUGAAUUGACGGGG